rnacentral:rRNA from 1 species
UACGGAGGGUGCAAGCGUUAAUCGGAAUUACUGGGCGUAAAGAGUGCGUAGGCGGCUCGUUAAGUCAGAUGUGAAAGCCCUGGGCUCAACCUAGGAACUGCAUUUGAAACUGCUGGUCUUGAGUAAUGGAGAGGAAAGCGGAAUUCCUGGUGGAGCGGUGAAAUGCGUAGAUAUCAGGAGGAACGCCGGCGGCGAAAGCGACUCUCUGGCCUGUUACUGACGCUGAGGCGCGAAAGCUAGGGGAGCAAACGGG